rnacentral:tRNA from 1 species
GGACGCCUGGCUCAGCGGUUAGAGCAUCUCGUUUACACCGAGAGGGUCGGGGGUUCGAAUCCCUCGGCGUCCACCA